ensembl:snRNA U1 U1 spliceosomal RNA
AUACUUACUUGGUAGGGGAGAUACCAAGAUCACAAAGGUGGUUUCCCAGGGCGAGGCUUAUUCAUUACACUCCAGGUGUGCUGACCCCUCCAAUUUCCUCAAAUGUGGGAAACUCAACUGCAUAAUUUGUGUACAGUGAGGAACUGUGUUCAUGCUCUUCCUGA